rnacentral:snoRNA from 1 species
ACUAUUCUCUGGUUCAUAACUGUGGCAUCUGGAUAUUCAUGUCACUGCCUGCUAUGUAUCUUGCUCAAACUCUGAUUCCACAGUCAGCACAUUACCUAUUUGGCA